CUAGCUUCAGGACGCCUCCACCUGAAGGCAGUAUAAGCAGAUGGAAACCAUGAGCAAUAACAAAGUAACUAAAUUGUGUUGAAUUUGUAUAAGAUAUAAGAAUAUUAUUAUAUUUGUAUAAUAUAAGAAUUAAUUUUCUUAAAAUUUCAAUAGACAAUCAUAAGAAUUUAUUUUACUACAUUUGUUUUUUGUACUACCUUUCAAGCCAAAUCUUGCUUGAGGACGCCUCCACCUUAGGGCAGUCUAAGCAGAGAAAGUAUACAAAAAAUCGUAUGAACCGUAGUUCAAAAAACAAACGUGGUAAAAUAAACCCCUAAGAUUGCCUAUUGAAAUUAAAAAAAAAUUAAGUCUUAUAUUACAAAUUCAAUAAAAUUUAGUUACUUUGUUAUUGUUCAUGGCCUCCAUCUAUCUGUGUAGUACGAAAAUUCCAUUGAUAGCUUUGCUGUUAUUGUCUGCUAGCAUCGAAGCUAAUACCGAAAAAAUUCAGUGAAACAAGGGAAAAGGCCGUUAUUGCAACAAAAUGUUUGGUGCAAUAGACUCUACGAAAAACUCCUUUUAUCAUAAAGGACGGCUAGCUGCUUUAAAGAGGUAAAACACAAAAAAAAUUGGCGUCAAGGAUGUUUUGUUAUACGGGAUUAUUGAUUAUUACUAGGAUCCAAGCAUAAACCAAAGCCAAACUUAGGACUUGCUUAACCACUCAACAAUUUUACUGUGAAAGGAUGCAAAAUUAUGAAAGCGGGGAUCACCCAAACCAUGCACCUUUCAGAUUGGAGGUCUUAAAUGGAUGAAUGUAAUUGAAACGAGUUUUCAUAUUGAGCCUGAAUAAAAUGGAAGAAUGGAUGACUGCUGUUGAUUAUGCUGCUGAACAGAUUCAUACAGAUCCUGAUUGCAAUGAUUUGGAUAUGCCAGCCGUUUCUGAAAAAACACCAGGAACCAUGCUUCCAAUCCUUAAGAAAUGGAAAAACAGCUAACAGCUAAGCUCUCGCUUUUCACAGGAAAAAAGCUGGAUUUAUCUGAUAAGAAAACAAAAAUCAAACUAAACAGAAGUUAAAUGAAAUGAAGAAAAAAUUAUAAAGCAAAAAGAAGAAGAGGAGUUCCUGAAUUGCCAAACUUGCAUGAGCAACCAAGGUAGCAUCUGUGUCACCAACCUCUGUUCUUUCAGAGUUUGUCUAAACAGAAAUUUCUGAACCAAGACUAGCAAGUACAUUGCCAACACCAAUUUUCAACAGUGAAGGCUGCCCAGUUUUCAGCAAAUUUGAUUUUGGAGAACUAUUUAAUCCCUCACCCAUUCUGAAAAAGACCACUUUAGAUCCAUAAUUGGCAACGAUUAAAAUGAAAAAAAAAAUACUUAAACAAAAAGUGAAAAUCUUGGUAGGCCAAGCUGAAGGUGAGAAUCCAGAAGCAUGGAAGAAAAACAGGCUUGCAAUGGUGCUCUACACAUAGCUGAAGGUUUUCAGGUAGAAGACUGUGGAAUUCCUUGGCAAAUAAAUAAAGAAACGAGGUAAAAUCAAAUCAGAAAAUUAAAUAAAUUGGGCUGAUCGCAACGAAGAAAAGGAAAAGAGAAAGGAAUGACAACAGAAAAAGAGAAAGGAAUGACAACAGUAAAAGAGAAAGGAAUGACAACAGAAAAAGAGAAAAGCCAACAUUAAGAAAAAGAAACUGAAAAAAAAGAACAUACAGUGAUUAAACCAAAUCAAAAAAAGGAAAAUUUAUCGUAUGAAAUAAUGAUACCGACUCAUAGAUGAGCUAAACUCGUGUUCUUUCAUGUGCAAGCCAUGGCGCGACAGUCUUUUAGAAAAAUACACUGGCAUGCCUUUCAUGA